CCAGAGACAUCGUGUUAAGGCUGUAAACUCUGACACAACUCCAUAACACCACGCCAGAGGGACAAAAUGACUCUCCUUCUGAUUGGCUCAAUGUGCAUCAGCUGUCGCUCGUUCACACUUUCAGCAUUUGUGAUGUCUACCCUUGGCGCAGUUUAGGCCUUUUCCUGGGUCAGGAGGUUUCGAAUCUAUCUUUUGAAAGACAAAGGCUGUCGACUCCUUCACCUGUUAUUCUGUGUCCCACAACCAGAUAUUCAUUUUAAGCAGCCCCAGAAAAAUGACAACAUUAAGUUUUCUCCAAAUGCAUAUGGAGAGAAAAAUCAAGGUUGGCUUUUUGGCGAGAGGUGGAGUCUGAACGACACAGGAGCCCUGAGAUUGUUGUAUAUCUGAUCGAGGUUCACAUGGAUGGUGGUCCUGCUGCUGUGGUACUGCACGACUCAUAACAAUCGUCAUUAUUAUUGUGUUUUAAAGCUUGUAUUAUUAGUAUCAAUACUAUUAUCAAAAUAAUUCAUAUUUCAAAUAUUA